GACUGCUACUGCUUUUGCUCACCACAUGACCCUCUUGAGGGUGCUGUCACCGCUUUCACAGUGUUUGAACUUCUUACCCAUUGCCUACCAGAACAGCAAUAGACUGGGGCACCUCAGAGAAAAACCCCAAGGCAAGAGCUUGAGGAAACGGCCAAAGGGAAGCCAGGGAGCAUUGUGGUCAGAGGUAAAGCUGACACCCUGACAUCAGAGCCAAUGGCAGAAAAAGAAAAAAGUCUGUUUUCUCUAAUGAAAGACCGUAAAGUACUUACCCAGCUCUGAGCUCAGUGAAGAGGAGGAGAUAGUCCAAAAGGCAGGCAGAAUGCUUCACAUAAAACGCUCUCACUACUAAGGAAGUGAGAGGCGAGAGAAAUUUUUUUGAAAGGAGAGGAAAAGCUAGACGUUUAUUCUCAUCAUCAAAGGGAAGGAAGAAGCAAAUGAAUCAGAAAUCAAAGAUUGAAUAUCAUUGGUCUUGCUGACAAAGCAAUCAGCAAUUCCCUCACAGCAAGUAUAGGGGUUUGUUGAACAAAGCAAAGGAAUUUGAAAGUCUUGAAGAAAAUAGGGUCUUUCCAUUUAUAAAAUUAGACAUAAUUUUAGAACAGCAUUUUGAUUUAGGAGCUGUGAAGAAGUUGUGCAUUAAAAAUACAUAAAUCCAAA